CCCUUAGAUGUUCUGGGCCGCACGCGCGCUACACUGACGGAGGCAGCGAGCGUGUCCUUCGCCGGCAGGUGCGGGCAAUCUUGCGAGUCUCCGUCGUGCUGGGGAUAGAUGGUUGCAAUUGUCGAUCUUGAACGAGGAAUUCCUAGUAAGCGCGAGUCAUCAGCUCGCGCUGAUUACGUCCCUGCCCUUUGUACACACCGCCCGUCGCUACUACAGAGUGCCCGUGUCCAAGAAACGGUCGGACCUGUGCAGCCUCUCCGGGCGACCGGAGGGCCGUUACGGGGAAGACCCUUUAUUUGACGCGGGUCGAUGAAGUAAAAGUCGUAACA
rnacentral:rRNA from 1 species